GAUGAACGCUGGCGGCGUGCCUAAUACAUGCAAGUCGAGCGAACAGACGAGGAGCUUGCUCCUCUGACGUUAGCGGCGGACGGGUGAGUAACACGUGGAUAACCUACCUAUAAGACUGGGAUAACUUCGGGAAACCGGAGCUAAUACCGGAUAACAUGUUGAACCGCAUGGUUCAACAGUAAAAGACGGUCUUGCUGUCACUUAUAGAUGGAUCCGCGCCGCAUUAGCUAGUUGGUAAGGUAACGGCUUACCAAGGCAACGAUGCGUAGCCGACCUGAGAGGGUGAUCGGCCACACUGGAACUGAGACACGGUCCAGACUCCUACGGGAGGCAGCAGUAGGGAAUCUUCCGCAAUGGGCGAAAGCCUGACGGAGCAACGCCGCGUGAGUGAAGAAGGUCUUCGGAUCGUAAAACUCUGUUAUUAGGGAAGAACAAAUGUGUAAGUAACUAUGCACGUCUUGACGGUACCUAAUCAGAAAGCCACGGCUAACUACGUG
rnacentral:rRNA from 1 species